UUGGCUCGCUUGUCAUCAUUUCCAUUAUUUUAGCAAACACUAGAGCCAGCUGAACGGACCGUAAUUACUGGGCGAAAACACAACUUUUCUUUGAAAAUGACGCGGCAUCAAAGAAACUGUACUGCUGGGACUGUUUACACUUAUCAUGAGCGGCAGAAAGAUACAGUGACUCAGAGGUAUUAACGAUGUCUACGAGGGCAGCACUGUCAUCACGGGAUCUGAAUGCCCAAAGAUCCCAGGAACAUGCCAGCAAGCUUCCUGUGCCCUCCAAGCCUCGCCCUCUCCAGGUGAAACCCAUG